GACGAACGCUGGCGGCGUGCUUAACACAUGCAAGUCGAACGGAAAGGCCCUGCUUUUGUGGGGUGCUCGAGUGGCGAACGGGUGAGUAACACGUGAGUAACCUGCUCUUGACUUUGGGAUAACUUCUGGUAACUGGGGUUAAUACUGCAUAGGAGCUCCUGAUGCAUGGUGGGGGUUGGAAAGUUUCGGCGGUUGGGGAUGGACUCGCGGCUUAUCAGCUAGUUGGUGGGGUAGUGGGUUACCAAGUCUUUGACGGGUAGCCGUCCUGUGAGGGGGACCGGCCACAUUGGGACUGAGAUACGGCCCAGACUCCUACGGGAGGCAGCAGGGGGGAAUAUUGCACAAUGGGCGGAAGCGUGAUGCAGCAACGCCGCGUGCGGGAUGACGGCCUUCGGGUUGUAAACCGCUUUCGCCUGUGACGAAGCGUGAGUGACGGUAAUGGGUAAAGAAGCACCGGCUAACUACGUG
rnacentral:rRNA from 1 species